GAAUGCUAAUACCGCAUACGUCCUACGGGAGAAAGCAGGGGAUCUUCGGACCUUGCGCUAAUAGAUGAGCCUAAGUCGGAUUAGCUAGUUGGUGGGGUAAAGGCCUACCAAGGCGACGAUGUGUAGCGGGUCUGAGAGGAUGAUCCGCCACACUGGGACUGAGACACGGCCCAGACUCCUACGGGAGGCAGCAGUGGGGAAUAUUGGACAAUGGGGGGAACCCUGAUCCAGCCAUGCCGCGUGUGUGAAGAAGGCCUUAUGGUUGUAAAGCACUUUAAGCGAGGAGGAGGCUACUGAGACUAAUACUCUUGGAUAGUGGACGUUACUCGCAGAAUAAGCACCGGCUAACUCUGUGCCAGCAGCCGCGGUAAUACAGAGGGUGCGAGCGUUAAUCGGAUUUACUGGGCGUAAAGCGUGCGUAGGCGGCUUUUUAAGUCGGAUGUGAGAUCCCCGAGCUUAACUUGGGAAUUGCAUUCGAUACUGGGAAGCUAGAGUAUGGGAGAGGAUGGUAGAAUUCCAGGUGUAGCGGUGAAAUGCGUAGAGAUCUGGAG
rnacentral:rRNA from 1 species